UAUUGCACAAUGGGCGCAAGCCUGAUGCAGCCAUGCCGCGUGUGUGAAGAAGGCCUUCGGGUUGUAAAGCACUUUCAGUCAGGAGGAAAGGUUAGUAGUUAAUACCUGCUAGCUGUGACGUUACUGACAGAAGAAGCACCGGCUAACUCCGUGCCAGCAGCCGCGGUAAUACGGAGGGUGCGAGCGUUAAUCGGAAUUACUGGGCGUAAAGCGUACGCAGGCGGUUUGUUAAGCGAGAUGUGAAAGCCCCGGGCUCAACCUGGGAACUGCAUUUCGAACUGGCAAACUAGAGUGUGAUAGAGGGUGGUAGAAUUUCAGGUGUAGCGGUGAAAUGCGUAGAGAUCUGAAGGAAUACCGAUGGCGAAGGCAGCCACCUGGGUCAACACUGACGCUCAGACGAAA
rnacentral:rRNA from 1 species